GGCAGUGUGGCACAGUGGUUUGAGUGCUGGAUUGCAACUCUGGAGACAUGGGUCAAAUCCCAGCUUGGCCA